rnacentral:rRNA from 1 species
UUGAACGCUGGCGGCAGGCCUAACACAUGCAAGUCGAGCGGAUGAAGGGAGCUUGCUCCUGGAUUCAGCGGCGGACGGGUGAGUAAUGCCUAGGAAUCUGCCUGGUAGUGGGGGAUAACGUCCGGAAACGGGCGCUAAUACCACAUACGUCCUGAGGGAGAAAGUGGGGGAUCUUCGGACCUCACGCUAUCAGAUGAGCCUAGGUCGGAUUAGCUAGUUGGUGGGGUAAAGGCCUACCAAGGCGACGAUCCGUAACUG